GGCCUUGUAUUCAUUUUGUGAUUAUAGAAUGCAAUUCUGUAGGGGUAGGUUGAAGGACCUAUCAAGGCCU
rnacentral:tRNA from 1 species